UAAUAGCGUAUAUUAAUGUUGUUGCAGUUAAAAAGCUCGUAGUUGGAUUUUGGUGUUUGACAAACGGUCGGCCUUACGGUUGGUACUGUUUGUUGGCACUUAUUUUCUGGGGAACUCACUGAUCUUAAUUGAUGGGUGUUGUAACGCAGAUCGUUUACUUUGAAAAAAUUAGAGUGUUCAAAGCAGGCCAUCGCAUUGAAUACAUUAGCAUGGAAUAAUGGAAUAGGACUUUGGUCUUAUUUUGUUGGUUUCUAAGGCCGAGGUAAUGAUUAAUAGGGAUAGUUGGGGGCGUUUAUAUUCCGUUGUCAGAGGUGAAAUUCUUGGAUUUACGGAAGAUAAACUACUGCGAAAGCAUUCGCCAAGGAUGUUUUCAUUAA
rnacentral:rRNA from 1 species